AUGCCCCGCGCCCUCGCCCGCCCAGCUCCGCUCGCGCCACCGCCGGCCGCGCCCUCGACCGCCUCCAUGCCCGGCCUCGCCCGCCUCCAUGCCCCGCCGUGCCAGGUCGUGCCCGCCAUCCCACGCCCUCGCCCGCCCAGCUGCGCUCGCGUCACCGCCGGCCGCACCCUCGACCGCCUCCAUGCCCGGCCUCGCCCGCCUCCAUGCCCGGUUUCUCCCGACGUGGAACUGGCAGAGGACGAUAGGAGACCGGCAUGCUCUCGGCAAGGCAUCACGGCACGCCCACGGCACGCGAGGGCUCUGCGACGAAGGAAACAAAAAGAAGGGCAAUAG
rnacentral:rRNA from 1 species